GCAAACUUGGUCAUUUAGAGGAAGUAAAAGUCGUAACAAGGUUUCCGUAGGUGAACCUGCGGAAGGAUCAUUAACGCAUCUCUGACGGGGUGCGGUGCGCCCUGCUCCGGUCCCGAUGGGCUGUGCAGCGGGCAAGCUGUCCCUGUCCAAACCUCACAAACCCACUGUGAACAUUCAUGGCGGAGGGGGACAUGGCCUGUGCCAUGUUCCCCAAGGCCACACAAACACCCAGUCCCAUAGAAUGUUGUGCGGACGCUGUGCCGCCCAAAAAAGCAUGUAACAACUUUCAACAACGGAUCUCUUGGCUCUCGCAUCGAUGAAGAACGCAGC
rnacentral:misc_RNA from 1 species